UGGGGAAUAUUGCACAAUGGGCGCAAGCCUGAUGCAGCAACGCCGCGUGAACGAUGAAGGUCUUCGGAUCGUAAAGUUCUGUUGCAGGGGAAGAUAAUGACGGUACCCUGUGAGGAAGCCCCGGCUAACUACGUGCCAGCAGCCGCGGUAAUACGUAGGGGGCUAGCGUUAUCCGGAUUUACUGGGCGUAAAGGGUGCGUAGGUGGUCUUUCAAGUCGGUGGUUAAAGGCUACGGCUCAACCGUAGUUAGCCUCCGAAGAUGGAAGACUUGAGUGCAGGAGAGGAAAGGGGAAUUCCCAGGGUAGCGGUGAAAUGCGUAGAUAUUGGGAGGAACACCAGUAGCGGAGGCGGCUUUCUGGACUGCAACUGACACUGAGGCACGAAAGCGUGGGUAGCAAACAGG
rnacentral:rRNA from 1 species